rnacentral:lncRNA from 1 species
AUGAUCAUUUGCAACAUCAGUGCCAUCAAAGAUUGGAGCACUUUCCUCUCCCAGAUCCUCCCUAGCGUUAACAAGACUCUGAACUUGGUGCAGCAAGUGGAAGCGACCACCAGCUCAGUGGUAAGUGUCCUCCAGGACCCCGAGCAGGACAGCUACCUGUCCAACAGCCAAUCCAUGAACUCCAGCAACUUCACGGCUGGCCUGGACCACUUGUUUCAGUAUUCGUACUCAGACAAUGACCAGCUUUACAAGGAAUACAAACCCCCUCCUCGAGAUGCCAUUCCUCUGCCCAAGGCUGUUCUCUACCUUCUCAUGGCAGCUUUGGUGGUGGUGGCAGUGGCGUACGCAAUCGUUGGGCAUCUCAUCAAGGACCUUAUUCAUGAUUUUAUAGGCCAUGAAAAAGGCAAGUCCUCGUUUUGAUUGCCUUUCUCCAUCCCUGUGCUCCAUCAGCCAGGCUGCUUCCUCCCAGGGAAGAAUUGCUAUUGAAAUCUUCUUCAGGGAAAUAAAAGCCUCUGAAAUACCCUGUGCCA